GGACUGGGAGAGGAUGGCUAUGGGGCACGUUUCCUUCCAGGGUGAUAAAGGCAUUCAUUCCAAGAUAGACUGUGAUGAUGGCUGCACGCUCUGUAGAUGACAUCUCAAUCAAGCUGCUUCAUGAGAAAGGCCCAGCCACUGACCACGGGGUGAACGUCCUGCCAUCCACAGUCCCUGGCCGAGAAGAAGGUAUGACUGACAGGAAGCACUGGUUUUCUUUCGGGACACAACCGAACGUGCCAGGACUGCAGGAGCCGCUGGAUUACAGAGCAGCAAACCAGGCAUGGCAGGCGGUGCUCGCGGAGGUACCACGGGGCGGACCAGGGUGUGCAGCGUUACGUGACUUGGGAAGAUGUGGGGGGCCCGAUGUAUCUACCAGGAGACAGUGGAGACCUCUACCCUUUAGCUGUCCUCUGUCCCACACAACCCAGCCCCCACUGGGCGGCCACUGCAGGGGAAGCUCAGCUGGAAGGUUCCAUGGGAGAGACCAGACCAGUCCUGGCACUGUCCAGCAGCUGCCUUCGGCCCAUGUUCUGAAACCGGGAUGCACACAGCAUGGAGAUCUCAGCCCUGGGCAGGCCUCGCCCCCUCCAGCAGCUGCCCUCGGCCCAUCUCCCAAAGCCUGGACGCAUACACUGGGGAGACCUCAGCUCUGGGCAGGCCUGGGUUCCCAUCGCUUCGGCGUCCCUGGGCCCGGGACACGGAACACACUUGCUGCGUGCUGUGUACAAGAAUGA